rnacentral:lncRNA from 1 species
ACGGGUAUAUGUUCACGUAAAAACUAAAGAGAAGCAUUCUCAGAAACUUCUGAGUGAUGAUUGCAUUCAAGUCACACAGUUGAACCCUCCUUUUGAUGGAGCAGUUUUGAAACUGUCUUUUUGUGGAAUCUGUAAGUGGAUACGUGGACCUCUUUGAAGAUUUCUUUGGAAACGGGAAUAUUUCCACAGAAAAACUAAACUGAAGCAUUCUCAGAAACUGCUUUGUGAUGUUUGUGUUCGAGCCGCAGAGUUUAACAUUGCUUUUCAUAGAGCAGUUUUGAAAUAUUCUUUUGGCAGAAUCUGCAAGUGGACAUUUGGAGU